rnacentral:lncRNA from 1 species
GCAAUGUUGUUACUGAAUAUUCUGCGAUCCAUUUGUCUGAAGUAAGAACAGUAAGAUAAUUUUAUAAGUAGUUGGUGGGCAACACUACUUUUCUUGCUUGCGCACUGCCCUGCACCUUCAUUUCAAUGCAGCACAAGAAGAGGAGAAAAGGGAAAGGAAAGAAGAAACUUUCUAGCACCUUUUUAAUGUUUAGAUUAGCAAUGGUUGUCUAAGCUUGCCAUCAGCUAUCAAUUUCUUGAUGCACACCCACUUCGAUCAACAUUUCAGGAUAGGCAAACUCCUGGUGCAGCAUGGUUGGGUGCUAGACUCCUUUUGCUCUACUUGAGGUUCAACAUUAGGAACAUAGUGAAGAGCUUUUACCCAUCU